UCUCGAUAGCGUGAAAGUUAACUCGAAUUUGUAUGGAGUUGGAAUAUCUGCCUAUGUUUGCCGCUAGGGGUGUUCCAACUGAAUACAAAUUUUAGUUAACUAUUACACGAUCGA
rnacentral:pre_miRNA from 9 species